AUUGAACGCUGGCGGCAUGCUUUACACAUGCAAGUCGAACGGCAGCGCGGGCUUCGGCCUGGCGGCGAGUGGCGAACGGGUGAGUAAUACAUCGGAACGUGCCCAGUCGUGGGGGAUAGCCCGGCGAAAGCCGGAUUAAUACCGCAUACGACCUGAGGGUGAAAGCGGGGGAUCUUCGGACCUCGCGCUAUUGGAGCGGCCGAUGGUAGAUUAGAUAGUUGGUGGGGUAAAGGCCUUCCAAGGCGACGAUCUGUAGCUGGUCUGAGAGGACGACCAGCCACACUGGGACUGAGACACGGCCCAGACUCCUACGGGAGGCAGCAGUGGGGAAUUUUGGACAAUGGGCGAAAGCCUGAUCCAGCAAUGCCGCGUGUGUGAUGAAGGCCUUCGGGUUGUAAAGCACUUUUGGCGGGAACGAAAAGGACUGUGCCAAUACCACGGUUCGAUGACGGUACCCGCAGAAUAAGCACCGGCUAACUACGUG
rnacentral:rRNA from 1 species